GUGGGGAAUCUUCCGCAAUGGACGAAAGUCUGACGGAGCAACGCCGCGUGAGUGAAGAAGGUUUUCGGAUCGUAAAGCUCUUUCGUUAGGGACGAACGUGCUCUUUGUGAAUAAUGAGGAGUAAUGACGGUACCUAAAUAAGAAGCCACGGCUAACUACGUGCCAGCAGCCGCGGUAAUACGUAGGUGGCAAGCGUUGUCCGGAAUUAUUGGGCGUAAAGCGCGCGCAGGCGGGAUAUCAAGUCUGUCUUAAAAGUGCGAGGCUCAACCUCGUGAGGGGACAUAAACUGGUAUUCUUGAGUGUCGGAGAGGAAAGUGGAAUUCCAAGUGUAGCGGUGAAAUGCGUAGAGAUUUGGAAGAACACCAGUGGCGAAGGCGACUUUCUGGACGAUGUCUGACGCUGAGGCGCGAAAGCUAGGGGAGCGAACGGGAUUAGAAACCCUGGUAGUCC
rnacentral:rRNA from 1 species